rnacentral:rRNA from 1 species
GACGAACGCUGGCGGCGUGCUUAACACAUGCAAGUCGAACGGAAAGGCCCGGCUUUUGUGGCGUGCUCGAGUGGCGAACGGGUGAGUAACACGUGAGUAACCUGCCCUUGACUUUGGGAUAACUUCAGGAAACUGGGGCUAAUACCGGAUAGGAGCUCCUGCUGCAUGGUGGGGGUUGGAAAGUUUCGGCCGUUGUGGAUGGACUGGCGGCUUAUCAGCUUGUUGGUGGGGUAGUGGCUUACCAAGGCUUUGACGGGUAGCCGGCCUGAGAGGGUGACCGGCGACAUUGCGACUGAGAGACGGCCCAGACUGCUAUGGUGGGCAGCAGUGGGGAACAUUGCACAAUGGGCGGAAGCGUGAGGCAGCAACGCCGCGUGCGGGAUGACGGCCUUCGGGUUGUAAACCGCUUUCGCCUGUGACGAAGCGUGAGUGACGGUAAUGGGUAAAGAAGCAACGGCUAACUACGUG